GAUGAACGCUAGCUACAGGCUUAACACAUGCAAGUCAGGGGCAGCAUGAACUUAGCUUGCUAAGUUUGAUGGCGACCGGCGCACGGGUGAGUAACACGUAUCCAACCUUCCGUUUACUCAGGGAUAGCCUUUCGAAAGAAAGAUUAAUACCUGAUAGUAUGGUGAGAUUGCAUGAUAACACCAUUAAAGAUUUAUUGGUAAACGAUGGGGAUGCGUUCCAUUAGGUAGUAGGCGGGGUAACGGCCCACCUAGCCGACGAUGGAUAGGGGUUCUGAGAGGAAGGUCCCCCACAUUGGAACUGAGACACGGUCCAAACUCCUACGGGAGGCAGCAGUGAGGAAUAUUGGUCAAUGGCCGAGAGGCUGAACCAGCCAAGUCGCGUGAGGGAUGAAGGUUCUAUGGAUCGUAAACCUCUUUUAUAAGGGAAUAAAGUGCGGGACGUGUCCCGUUUUGUAUGUACCUUAUGAAUAAGGAUCGGCUAACUCCGUG
rnacentral:rRNA from 1 species